GUUCCGCUGGCUCAACGGAUAGAGCGCGGCCCUGCGAAGGCCGAGAUUCCAGGUUCGAUUCCUGGGCGGAACGCCA
rnacentral:tRNA from 1 species